ensembl:antisense Ccdc142os coiled-coil domain containing 142, opposite strand
UCCGGCGGCUCCGCGGUACUUCGCGAGGCUGACCUCCGGGGCCACCCGCGAAUACUUCAGCCAUUAGCAGUGUUCUGUGCCACACAGCAUAAGCAGUGAAUGUGCAAAAUCCCCUUCGCAGGAAAACGUCCUUCAGCCCUCUCCCUCGGGGUCCUGCCUGCGAGAUCUAGCACCAGGAAGAAAGAAAAAUUACCAGGACACAAUCGAAGUCUCCAGUAUCGACCCCUCGGCAUGUGGAGCUUGAAGCCUUGUGUGGCUUGUUUAUGGCAUUCUUGGACAAACAGACCCAGUGAUUCUUUGGGCAGGAGCUGUAUGGGGAGGAAGAAAGUAAGAAGGGCUAGUCUAUUAGACUGGGAAUGGUGUUUCUCUCUCUGAGGUCUCAGUGUGGGCAUCUGUAAAACCCUGAUGCCUCACUGUGGGAGCAUGGGCAUUUUCUAAGGAGGUCUGGACCUAAACCAUGCACAGUACCUAGGAUUAGAGGUUUCCUUAGUAAUCAAAGGCACAUGACAAGUCAGGCGUGUUGGGCAUGCGGCUAGACUCCCAGCAUUUGGAAAGUAGAAUCAGAGUAUUAGAAGCUCAAUGGCCAGGGGAUGGAGAGAUGGCUCAGUGACUGAAUGAAUGCUCCUCUAGAGUCUUGAGUUCAAUUCCUAGAAACCACAUGGUGGGUCAUAACCAUCUGUAAUGAAAUCCGAUGCCCUCUUCUGAUGUGUCUGAAGACUGCUACAGUGUACUUGCAUAUAUA